rnacentral:rRNA from 1 species
GACGACCGCUGGCGGCGUGCUUAACACAUGCAAGUCGAACGGAAAGGCCCUGCUUUUGUGGGGUGCUCGAGUGGCGAACGGGUGAGUAACACGUGAGUAACCUGCCCUUGACUUUGGGAUAACUUCAGGACACUGGGGCUAAUACCGGAUAGGAGCUCCUGCUGCAUGGUGGGGGUUGGAAAGUUUCGGCGGUUGGGGAUGGACUCGCGGCUUAUCAGCUUGUUGGUGGGGUAGUGGCUUACCAAGGCUUUGACGGGUAGCCGGCCUGAGAGGGUGACCGGCCACAUUGGGACUGAGAUACGGCCCAGACUCCUACGGGAGGCAGCAGUGGGGAAUAUUGCACAAUGGGAGGAAGCCUGAUGCAGCAACGCCGCAUGCGGGAUGACGGCCUUCGGGUUGUAAACCGCUUUCGCCUGUGACGAAGCGUGAGUGACGGUAAUGGGUAAAUAAGCACCGGCUAACUACGUG